GCCGGUAAUUAACACAGUUAAGAUAGCUAGCUAAGUCUAGGACAAUGUCCUGUCAGGGCAGGUUCAUGCUAGUUAAUAAACGUAGGUCUACAUCUCAGUGCCUCUCCAGAUUUGUUAAAUUAUCUGAAGUUAAAUUAAUGUCAUCUUUUUGUGCGGUCCAUGAACUAUGCUGGUAUAGUAAUAUGGAGUGACAGUGGCGUAUGAGGUAGAGAAGUCGUAUUGUAAUCAAAAGGUUGCAAGUUCGAUUACCUGUGUGAACAGCUGAGCUGGACACUCUGGAGACCUAUGGACGUGAGUUCAAUACAGUGGUGCGUUCUUACAGUGCUCCAACUUUUAGGAGUCUUCAAACACAUAUACACACAUAAUACACAAAAGGCCUCACAAGCAAGAAAGCCUAGACUGCCUUCACUGAGGUGCAGUAACUGUACAAUAAGUGCUGAGAUAAUAAGUGCUGAGAUAGCACGUCUUGUCUGUAAAUGUGUGUAAGUGUGAGAGAGGGAGUAGAGAUUACAUUAUAAGAAUUAAAUGAAGAAUGUAAAAGGCUCUCACCAGGCAACCCGGGUCAACUCUCAGCAAAGUGCCAUCCCCUCCAAUAAGAUGGUGAGUGUGUGGUGAUUGACAGCAGAAUUUUAGAAAUAUUACAUCAGCAUAGAUGGAAUGCCAGAGAAAGAAAACAUUCCAGAAGAAUCUUCAGAAGAAAAUAGAAUACUAAGAAGCAAUAAUUACAGGCACACCCUUUUGCCUAGUAAUCCAGAGCUGGUAAUCUCCUUUGGAAGUCUCCCUUUCUGUUUCCAGUUGGAGUAGAAAUCCAGAAUGCAGGUUCAAAAGACGUAGGAAAAAAAGUUAUAGUCCAUCUUAUAUCCACCACGAUCAAAGUGGGUCUACAUUCUUCCCGUUUUUCUGCUGCAAAGAUUUAGUCACAGGUGCAUGUGUAGAGGUUAGUACUAAUACCAAGCCAAACAGCUUUAGUGCAAAGAUCAGGCUCAAGGAUUCAAGCGUCUCACCUCAAUGGAAUUAGAGAGGGAGGAUGGGAGAUUGAGAGAGGUAGAGGGAAAGGGAGAGAGAGAGGGAGGUAGGAGAAAGAUGUGCUAAAGUGGUCUUCUACAGCAGGGGUUUUCAACUGGUUUUGUCCCAGGGACCACCAUUCUGACUAGAAAGUAAUUUGCGGCCCACUGAUGUGCCUGCACGCCCCCUCCCCCGCGCAGAUAUUCUGCCUAUAGCACUUAAAUAUGUGAAAUAAUCAGGGUGCAUCGCUAGCCGCCGCCACGCCCCCUCCCCCUGCAC
ensembl:lncRNA